rnacentral:rRNA from 1 species
AACGUAGGUGGCGAGCGUUAUCCGGAUUUACUGGGCGUAAAGCGUGUGCAGGCGGGGUAUCAAGUGGUGUAUGAAAUCGCUCGGCUUAACCGGGCGCGGUUAUGCCAGACUGAUACUCUGGAGUGCGGGAGAGGGGCGUGGAAUUCCGAGUGUAGAGGUGAAAUUCGUAGAUAUUCGGAAGAACACCAGUGGCGAAGGCGGCCCGCUGGACAUGUAUUGACGCUGAGGUGCGAAAGCGUGGGGAGCAAACAGG